GUCAUGGUCUGCAGAGGCUGGCACCGUCGCCCAUUUUGCUUUCGAGAUAAGUUUCUCUCUAACUCCAUUUUUUCUUUCUCUGAUCGAUUUUGCUGUAGGAGUUGCUGCUUCUCCUCUUGGCUUUUCACACAAGAACUUUUGAAGCUCUCAAUGAUUUCCAAAAUAUGCAAUAUUGGUAUUUCCUUUUGCUUGGUUCCUUUGUCAUGCCCAUCAAAUGAAUCAAUUUGAAGAGCCACACACACUUGAUGAAUAGCCAUUUUAAGCUUUCUAAUUUCAUUUAACAAAACCUCUUCUUCUAUCAGUUGCAUAAAGUUUUUGGUCUCCAACUCGGAGAUAACUUUGUUACAAAAUUUUGAUGCCUCAACAUGCUUUUCACAGUAGAGUUGAUUUCUUCACUCUGAUUUGAGCCAUUACUAAGUACAGACCAUUUAAGCUAUGAUUUGCUAAAGCAAGAGCUUGGUUGCACCUUUAGAAAUAGAUCAAAUUGCUGGUAUAACAAUUGGUUGAUCUGCUUUAUAUUUCCUCAAUCUCAUUUAUGUGUUAAAAUUCUGCUUGUAGCAUUUAGACCAUUGCUAGCCAUCUAUAUUGUUAUUCUGCUUAUUUGAGCAAUUUUUGAGUGGUAUCUUUGAGUCAAAUACUUGGUUUGUAACCUGUUUCAAUUUUUGAAUCAAAAUUUGGAUGGUUGAAUUUAAUAUUUGAAGUAAAAUUGGGUUUGACACAUUGCCUUUGUGAAUAAUUUGAAGUUUGCAUGAGUUAUCUUAUCAAAUCAGUUCAUAAUCAUAUAUUAAACUUGCUAGUGUAAUUUGUAAUUUGAAUUCUGAAUCGGUCUUUGCUUGUAACCUUACUUUUGUCUCUCUCUAAUUCAACGAUACUACUACUCUUUGACUGCUAGCCAAUACCUCUAGAUAGCAAUUUUGAAUUAUAUAGAUAAACACACACAUGAUCAAAUACCUAUAGAGUAUGCAAAGUGGCAAUUACCUAUACAUAACAAAACCCAAAAGUAUGCAAAGUGCCAAUUAUAGAGGCUAUACUUUGGACCUAGAGACAAUAAUAUGGCCUAAAUUUAGUAGGGCUAAGUUGAGCUCUAAACCCAAAAUGUUAAUAUGAAAUCAUAGCCUAACCUAGAUCUACACCCUAAUUAUCUAUUCCAUAUAAUUUCUCAUUGAACACUCCAAUUUAUAAUUUACUCUUUUAUACAUGUGUUUAUUAAAUUCUUAUAUUUCAAGAAUGAUUGUGAUCAUAACAUCCUUACCAAAUACAGAAACAAAGAAGAAUUGUGCAAUUCAAGGUGAAGGAUUCUUUAAUAACAGUUCGAGAAUCUAUUAUUUUUUUUUAUAAGAGCUUCAUUAUAUAGGACAAAUAACAAAGAAUUAGCAGAUGAAAUAUGCAAUUAGAAGAUGCCAGAGAAAAUGCACUUUUCUAUUUAAAUCAAUGUCGCAAUCAUGCAAUAUCAUAAUAAACCAUGUUUAAUUUUCCUAGUUUGGUAGUAUUAUUAGAACUUGAAAACAGUUGAGACAGGUUCAUGUUGGGCCUAGGUGCCAUGAUACCAAUGUCAUUUCAGUUAGGAUAAAAACCCAAAGAAGACUCCAAGUCAAUUUAGCAUUACAUUAUGUGACUGUCCAAAAUAUGACUGGCAGUCCUAUUCCACUAGCAAAUUAGCAUAUGACCAAAAAUAGUUUUGACAAUUAAGUGACAUCAUACAUUCACAGUAUAAAAUUAAUUUAAUUAAAUUUACUCAUGCUACAAAAUUGACUUCAUAAAACUUAACAAUCUUUUGAAUAGGAAGAAUACAGAUUCUAAAUGAGAGACCAAAGGAAAAAACUUAGCUAUGAAUUAAACCUUUCAAUGAAUAGGAAGAGUACAGAUUCUUGUUAUUUCUUGAUUGAGAAGUUGAUAACUCUCUAGUUUUUGGAAUUUGAAAGAAGGUUUGUAUGUUGCUAGCCGCUUAGGUUGUAAAGGUCCGAAAAAUUAUCUAAACCUUGAACUGCCAAGGCUGGAAUCUUCCUCACAAAUCUUUCAAUUAAGUGCUCUAAGAUUCUAGAGAGAAACAUGAGUGUUGUGAGAUUAGUGAGGCUAACUUAACCUAAUUCCUUGGAAUUUAAGAGAAAGAAUUCAAUUUUCACUUAACUGUUUUGUUGACUAUUCACUUGUGCAGGAAAGUGAGUUUGAUUAACCUGGAAUAUAACCAUUGGACCAAGAGAGAAAGUUGAUUCUGCCAUAAUCUUGAAACUAGAAACACCUUAGCAUUAUGUUAGUUAUUUAAAACCAUAGAUUUUAUUAUGCACAUUGAGACGACUUAUAGUAGUGAAUGUCAUGUGGAUACUAUUACUAGUGAAACUGUUUUUGUAAGAAAUGUAAUGGCAUGCUAGUAGGGUGAGCAUAGCAGCAAUCAGUGCCAUGGUUUAGAGUGGGAACAACAAUAUUGAGAUUUUUGGAAUGAUGGCAGUUUGGGUAUGACAAAUUUAAUGUCCAUAUAGAUGGAAGUUACGUGAGAAUGCUAAACUACCUGAAUGAGCUGAAUUAAAUAUUUUAAUAUCGUUUGAUCAUAGUAUAAACAUUUUUAAGUCUGAUUGUGUUGUUACCUUAUACAACUUGUUGCAGAAAUUUGUUAUCAAACGUGUAGCCCACCAGCCAUUGGUCUCCUGAUUGUGAUUGUGGAGCUGCUUCUUGACCAAAUUUGGUUUGUCAGUAGAUAAUUAAAUAACUAUUGUGAUUGUGAUUGUGUAUAUUUAUUGCGUACUAGACUGUUUGAACUAAUGUCGUUAGUAAAGAGACUUGUGAUUCACUUCUAUCCAGAUUUGACAAUCUUGAAAAUUUGGUUAGGACAUUGAUACCUCAGUAAGGACAGUCCGCCCCAUCAUCAUCCCAACAACCAUGCCCACCUCUAUAGCCAUGCCCACCUCAACAGCCUUCCCAGACCACACUUGUGCAGAAAGAUCAUGAUGAUUCUAAUGAUUAUGAUGAUUAUUAGACAUUUAGGAACUUUUGAAAACAUUUGAAGUGAGGUUUUUUAAUUAAAAACUUUGUUUUGUCAUUAGAAACUUUUCA
rnacentral:lncRNA from 1 species